GUCCAUAUAGCUUAAUGGUAGAGUUCUGGCCUUCGGAACCAGAGGCGGGGGUUCGAAUCCCCCUAUGGAUG
rnacentral:tRNA from 1 species